ensembl:misc_RNA Metazoa_SRP Metazoan signal recognition particle RNA
GCCAGGCGUGGUGGCUCACACCUGUAAUCCCAGCAUUUUGGGAGGCUGAGGUGGGUGGAUCACCUGAGGUCAGGAGUUCGAGAACCGCCUGGCCAACCUGGUGAGAACCUAUCUCUA